AAUAGAUACCCGGGUAGUCCUGGCCCUAAACGAUGUCCACUGGGUCGCGGCCCCUUGACGGGGGUCGCGGCCGGAGCAAAAGUGUUAAGUGGACCGCCUGGGAAGUACGGUCGCAAGGCUAAAACUCAAAGGAAUUGACGGGGGCUCACACAAGCGGUGGAGCAUGUGGUUCAAUUCGAAGCAACGCGCAGAACCUUACCUGGGCUUGACAUGCCAGGAUUAUCCCCAUGAAAGUGGGGUAGGCCCCGCAAGGGGUACAACUGGUACAGGUGCUGCAUGGCUGUCGUCAGCUCGUGUCGUGAGAUGUCGGGUUAAGUCCCUUAACGAGCGAAACCCUUACCUCUAGUUACUACGGGUCAUGCCGAGGACUCUAGAGGGACUGCCGGUGUCAAACCGGAGGAAGGCGGGGAUGACGUCAAGGUCCUCAUGGCCUUUACGUCUGGGGCUGCACACGUGCUACAAUGGCGUGAACAAAGGGAAGCCAAGGCGCGAGCCGGAGCAAAUCCCAAAAAACACGCCCCAGUUCAGAUCGAGGGCUGCAACUCGCCCUCGUG
rnacentral:rRNA from 1 species